AAUUGAAGAGUUUGAUCAUGGCUCAGAUUGAACGCUGGCGGCAGGCCUAACACAUGCAAGUCGAGCGGUAGCACAGAGAGCUUGCUCUCGGGUGACGAGCGGCGGACGGGUGAGUAAUGUCUGGGAAACUGCCUGAUGGAGGGGGAUAACUACUGGAAACGGUAGCUAAUACCGCAUAACGUCGCAAGACCAAAGUGGGGGACCUUCGGGCCUCAUGCCAUCAGAUGUGCCCAGAUGGGAUUAGCUAGUAGGUGGGGUAACGGCUCACCUAGGCGACGAUCCCUAGCUGGUCUGAGAGGAUGACCAGCCACACUGGAACUGAGACACGGUCCAGACUCCUACGGGAGGCAGCAGUGGGGAAUAUUGCACAAUGGGCGCAAGCCUGAUGCAGCCAUGCCGCGUGUGUGAAGAAGGCCUUCGGGUUGUAAAGCACUUUCAGCGGGGAGGAAGGCGAUAAGGUUAAUAACCUUGUCGAUUGACGUUACCCGCAGAAGAAGCACCGGCUAACUCCGUGCCAGCAGCCGCGGUAAUACGGAGGGUGCAAGCGUUAAUCGGAAUUACUGGGCGUAAAGCGCACGCAGGCGGUCUGUCAAGUCGGAUGUGAAAUCCCCGGGCUCAACCUGGGAACUGCAUUCGAAACUGGCAGGCUAGAGUCUUGUAGAGGGGGGUAGAAUUCCAGGUGUAGCGGUGAAAUGCGUAGAGAUCUGGAGGAAUACCGGUGGCGAAGGCGGCCCCCUGGACAAAGACUGACGCUCAGGUGCGAAAGCGUGGGGAGCAAACAGGAUUAGAUACCCUGGUAGUCCACGCCGUAAACGAUGUCGAUUUGGAGGUUGUGCCCUUGAGGCGUGGCUUCCGGAGCUAACGCGUUAAAUCGACCGCCUGGGGAGUACGGCCGCAAGGUUAAAACUCAAAUGAAUUGACGGGGGCCCGCACAAGCGGUGGAGCAUGUGGUUUAAUUCGAUGCAACGCGAAGAACCUUACCUGGUCUUGACAUCCACAGAACUUUCCAGAGAUGGAUUGGUGCCUUCGGGAACUGUGAGACAGGUGCUGCAUGGCUGUCGUCAGCUCGUGUUGUGAAAUGUUGGGUUAAGUCCCGCAACGAGCGCAACCCUUAUCCUUUGUUGCCAGCGGUCCGGCCGGGAACUCAAAGGAGACUGCCAGUGAUAAACUGGAGGAAGGUGGGGAUGACGUCAAGUCAUCAUGGCCCUUACGACCAGGGCUACACACGUGCUACAAUGGCAUAUACAAAGAGAAGCGACCUCGCGAGAGCAAGCGGACCUCAUAAAGUAUGUCGUAGUCCGGAUUGGAGUCUGCAACUCGACUCCAUGAAGUCGGAAUCGCUAGUAAUCGUAGAUCAGAAUGCUACGGUGAAUACGUUCCCGGGCCUUGUACACACCGCCCGUCACACCAUGGGAGUGGGUUGCAAAAGAAGUAGGUAGCUUAACCUUCGGGAGGGCGCUUACCACUUUGUGAUUCAUGACUGGGGUGAAGUCGUAACAAGGUAACCGUAGGGGAACCUGCGGUUGGAUCACCUCCUUA
rnacentral:rRNA from 8 species